CUUCCGUUCUUAAAAGUUUCCAAUACAUACGGAACAGAUUUUGUACAAAAUCUUAAUCUCCUACAAUGUUAAAAAUUAUCUUCCCAUCACUAAUACUACUUCCACUUACCUGAACAUCUACACAAAAAAAGAUAUGAACCAAUGUAACCUCAUACAGCUUCUUAAUCAGGCUAAUUAGCCUGACACUAUUAUGAAAAAUGAUGAAAACAAAUAUAAACUUCUCAACUACAUUCUUCUCAGAUCCAUUAUCUUCCCCCUUAAUUAUUUUAACAUCCUGACUUCUUCCACUAA